rnacentral:rRNA from 1 species
GAAUGCUGACAUAAGUAACGAUAAAGCGGGUGAAAAGCCCGCUCGCCGGAAGACCAAGGGUUCCUGUCCAACGUUAAUCGGGGCAGGGUGAGUCGACCCCUAAGGCGAGGCCGAAAGGCGUAGUCGAUGGGAAACGGGUUAAUAUUCCCGUACUUGGUGUUACUGCGAAGGGGGGACGGAGAAGGCUAUGUUGGCCGGGCGACGGUUGUCCCGGUUUAAGCGUGUAGGUGUGUGUUCCAGGUAAAUCCGGUUCACUUUAACACUGAGGCGUGACGACGAGGCACUACGGUGCUGAAGCAACAAAUGCCCUGCUUCCAGGAAAAGCCUCUAAGCAUCAGGUAACAUCAAAUCGUACCCCAAACCGACACAGGUGGUCAGGUAGAGAAUACCAAGGCGCUUGAGAGAACUCGGGUGAAGGAACUAGGCAAAAUGGUGCCGUAACUUCGGGAGAAGGCACGCUGACAUGUAGGUGAAGUGAUUUACUCACGGAGCUGAAGUCAGUCGAAGAUACCAGCUGGCUGCAACUGUUUAUUAAAAACACAGCACUGUGCAAACACGAAAGUGGACGUAUACGGUGUGACGCCUGCCCGGUGCCGGAAGGUUAAUUGAUGGGGUCAGCGCAAGCGAAGCUCCUGAUCGAAGCCCCGGUAAACGGCGGCCGUAACUAUAACGGUCCUAAGGUAGCGAAAUUCCUUGUCGGGUAAGUUCCGACCUGCACGAAUGGCGUAAUGAUGGCCAGGCUGUCUCCACCCGAGACUCAGUGAAAUUGAACUCGCUGUGAAGAUGCAGUGUACCCGCGGCAAGACGGAAAGACCCCGUGAACCUUUACUAUAGCUUGACACUGAACAUUGAGCCUUGAUGUGUAGGAUAGGUGGGAGGCUUUGAAGUGUGGACGCCAGUCUGCAUGGAGCCGACCUUGAAAUACCACCCUUUAAUGUUUGAUGUUCUAACGUGGACCCGUAAUCCGGGUUGCGGACAGUGUCUGGUGGGUAGUUUGACUGGGGCGGUCUCCUCCUAAAGAGUAACGGAGGAGCACGAAGGUUGGCUAAUCCUGGUCGGACAUCAGGAGGUUAGUGCAAUGGCAUAAGCCAGCUUGACUGCGAGCGUGACGGCGCGAGCAGGUGCGAAAGCAGGUCAUAGUGAUCCGGUGGUUCUGAAUGGAAGGGCCAUCGCUCAACGGAUAAAAGGUACUCCGGGGAUAACAGGCUGAUACCGCCCAAGAGUUCAUAUCGACGGCGGUGUUUGGCACCUCGAUGUCGGCUCAUCACAUCCUGGGGCUGAAGUAGGUCCCAAGGGUAUGGCUGUUCGCCAUUUAAAGUGGUACGCGAGCUGGGUUUAGAACGUCGUGAGACAGUUCGGUCCCUAUCUGCCGUGGGCGCUGGAGAACUGAGGGGGGCUGCUCCUAGUACGAGAGGACCGGAGUGGACGCAUCACUGGUGUUCGGGUUGUCAUGCCAAUGGCACUGCCCGGUAGCUAAAUGCGGAAGAGAUAAGUGCUGAAAGCAUCUAAGCACGAAACUUGCCCC